AACGUAGGAGGCUAGCGUUAUCCGGAUUUACUGGGCGUAAAGCGCGUGUAGGCGGCUCGGUCAGUCGGACGUUAAAUCUCCCGGCUCAACUGGGAGGCGCCGUUCGACACUACCGGGCUUGAGGGCAGUAGAGGGAGGUGGAAUUCCGGGUGUAGCGGUGAAAUGCGUAGAUAUCCGGAGGAACACCUGUGGCGAAAGCGGCCUCCUGGACUGCUCCUGACGCUCAGACGCGAAAGCUAGGGGAGCGAACGGG
rnacentral:rRNA from 1 species